GUUUGAUCAUGGCUCAGGACGAACGCUGGCGGCGUGCUUUACACAUGCAAGUCGAACGGGCUUAAAGAGCUUGCUCUUUAAGUUAGUGGCGAACGGGUGAGUAAUAUAUCGGAACGUAUCCAAUAAUGGGGGAUAACUAAGCGAAAGCUUGGCUAAUACCGCAUACGCCCUACGGGGGAAAGCUAGGGAUCUUCGGACCUGGCGUUAAUGGAGCGGCCGAUAUCUGAUUAGCUAGUUGGUGAGGUAAAGGCUCACCAAGGCGACGAUCAGUAGCUGGUCUGAGAGGACGACCAGCCACACUGGAACUGAGACACGGUCCAGACUCCUACGGGAGGCAGCAGUGGGGAAUUUUGGACAAUGGGCGAAAGCCUGAUCCAGCCAUUCCGCGUGAGUGAAGAAGGCCUUCGGGUUGUAAAGCUCUUUCGCAAGGGAAGAACACUUAGUCUCUAACAUAGACUGAGGUUGACGGUACCUUGAUAAGAAGCACCGGCUAACUACGUGCCAGCAGCCGCGGGUAAUACGUAGGGUGCGAAC
rnacentral:rRNA from 1 species